rnacentral:tRNA from 1 species
GGGUCGUUAGCUCAGUUGGUAGAGCAGUUGACUUUUAAUCNNUUCGAACCCUGUACGACCCACCA